CUUCAGAGCCCUGAAAACUGUGGGUGGUGCCUCAGACAGUGAUGAUAGAAGGAGCCCUCUGGAGAAAGCAUGUUGGACUUGGGAAUUUGGGAGAUGAGAAAAGCCUUUACUCUCACCCUAUACCCUCUGAAGAGUCUCUUCAUUAAGAUCUUCUGGGAACCUACCACUCUGACCUCGAGAAGGCUUGAAGUAGAGUCACAUCAAAGAACAAUGCCGUGAGCACACAUCUCCCUUCACGACUCCUGGUCCAGAUUUAAACAUCUGAGCUAUUUAAAUUCAUCUUCAAAGUAUGAAAAGCGAAUUAAGUCAUCAAAGCAAAAGCAGUUGAAUCUGAAGAAUGAGAAGUGUGGCGGCUCCGUGUGCCUGGGAGGUUGGAAGAAGUGUGACAGCUUUGUGUGCCUGGGAGGUUGGGAGAAACACCAAAUCUGACUCAAACUCAGCCAAAAUCUCCGGAUAACACAGAGUUUUAGAAAAUUUUGAAAUGCCCUCAUACAGCUUUUGGGGCCAGAAGAAGGCAUUGGAUCCCCUGUAAUUAGAGUUACAGAGAGCUAUGAAGCACCAUGUAAUGGCUGGGAGCUGAACUAGCUUCUCUGCAGGAGCAACCAAUGCUCUUAACUGCUGAGCCAUUUCUUCAGUUCUGAAGCCAACUAUCUUGGUCAGCUGAGCUGCAAUGGCAAGAUCCAAACUGUGAGAAAGGACACAACACAAAAUAAAAGAAUCUUCUGGAAGAUUUCUAUAGAUCACACUUGGGCCCACUGUGACUCUGGCAUGACUGCCAUUGAGAAGCCAUCAGUGAGUAAAGUGUCUAAGCACAUGGCAUGCUUUACUGUUACAAGGAGGUUGAAGUCCAGCAGGUGCUCUCGUCCAAUUUCCUAAGUGUGUGUGUGGGGGGGGUUGUCAAAGAGCCUGUCUCAAUAUGCCUUUACCCAAGUUUGAGGUUUUCUU
rnacentral:lncRNA from 1 species